UUUCACCACUUUGUGUGUCCAAGGACCACCUACUUUUUACAUGUGACAAGAACUACCCACCUCCACUCUUCAGGAUAGAACAUGCUGAAGAAAAGAGUUGCAAUGAGAAAAUAUAUGGGAACAAAAUACCUGUGCAAUGCAGAGGUCUGCAUAACUGAACCACUCAGAGGAAAAAAAUUGCCAUUUCAGGACACCUCCUACAUCUGAAGAAAUAUGCAUUGAUCUUGCAGAACUUUUCUCCUCCAAAUAAAAGUCAGUAUGAUAACAACUACACUAUCAGAAGUCUAAGCCAAAGGACACUUCAGUUAUCCAAUCUUGCAACAAAUACAUUUAAGCACUUAAUAUGGGCUACUGUUGGUACUAGGGGCAUUGAGAACUUCAGAUUUGAUUAACACCCAAGAGCUGCUACCAUAAAAUAAACUAGGCAGCUACUAGGCAAUAAGAUGAGGCACAUGUGUAAAACUUCUGCUUUUAGCUUGGUGAAGAGUGGUUACACAGCCAUUAUUACAAAAAUUACAUUUUUCCACAAAUAAAGACAUCACUUUUCUAGAGAGUA
rnacentral:lncRNA from 1 species